CAAUAUUUUUAUAAUUGCAAGCGCUUGUUACUAAGACUAGUCAUGGCGUCACCGUAAUAUGUAUGAUUUGUGUGUACGGUACGAGUAUACGUAUCGCCUGCGCCUAGCUAGCUGACAACAAAGUCGGAGAAUGGAUUGAAACUAAAGAGCUGAAAGAAGUUAACAACAUGAAGCAGAAAGUCCCAUGCAGGAUGAUGCUUCUCUACAGUGGGUGAUGAAGGCAUGCUGGUUUACAAACUCAGGAGAGGAACAAAGAAGAGAUAUUGACGGGAUCAUAUAUCUAGAGAUGCGGGCCUACUACACUUCAUACGAGCAAGUGUGCUAAUAUACAUACUUGGGUUAUCACUACAGCCCUUUCUUCUGAAAACUAGGCUACAACU